GAUGAACGCUGGCGGCGUGCCUAAUACAUGCAAGUCGAGCGAACAGAUAAGGAGCUUGCUCCUUUGACGUUAGCGGCGGACGGGUGAGUAACACGUGGGUAACCUACCUAUAAGACUGGGAUAACUCCGGGAAACCGGAGCUAAUGCCGGAUAACAUUUAGAACCGCAUGGUUCUAAAGUGAAAGAUGGUUUUGCUAUCACUUAUAGAUGGACCCGCGCCGUAUUAGCUAGUUGGUAAGGUAACGGCUUACCAAGGCAACGAUACGUAGCCGACCUGAGAGGGUGAUCGGCCACACUGGAACUGAGACACGGUCCAGACUCCUACGGGAGGCAGCAGUAGGGAAUCUUCCGCAAUGGGCGAAAGCCUGACGGAGCAACGCCGCGUGAGUGAUGAAGGUCUUCGGAUCGUAAAACUCUGUUAUUAGGGAAGAACAAAUGUGUAAGUAACUGUGCACGUCUUGACGGUACCUAAUCAGAAAGCCACGGCUAACUACGUG
rnacentral:rRNA from 1 species